rnacentral:rRNA from 1 species
GAUGAACGCUAGCGAUAGGCUUAACACAUGCAAGUCGAGGGGCAGCAUGAUCUUAGCUUGCUAAGGUUGAUGGCGACCGGCGCACGGGUGCGUAACGCGUAUGCAACUUGCCUUACAGAGGGGGAUAACCCGUUGAAAGACGGACUAAAACCGCAUACACUUGUAUUAUUGCAUGAUAUUACAAGGAAAUAUUUAUAGCUGUAAGAUAGGCAUGCGUCCCAUUAGCUGGUUGGUGAGGUAACGGCUCACCAAGGCAACGAUGGGUAGGGGAACUGAGAGGUUUAUCCCCCACACUGUACUGAGACACGGACCAGACUCCUACGGGAGGCAGCAGUGAGGAAUAUUGGUCAAUGGGCGAGAGCCUGAACCAGCCAAGUCGCGUGAAGGAAGACAGUCCUAAGGAUUGUAAACUUCUUUUAUACGGGAAUAACGGGCGAUACGAGUAUUGCAUUGAAUGUACCGUAAGAAUAAGCAUCGGCUA